rnacentral:rRNA from 1 species
GUAGUCAUAUGCUUGUCUCAAAGAUUAAGCCAUGCAUGUCUAAGUAUAAGCACUUUAUACUGUGAAACUGCGAAUGGCUCAUUAAAUCAGUUAUCGUUUAUUUGAUAGUACCUUACUACAUGGAUACCUGUGGUAAUUCUAGAGCUAAUACAUGCUAAAAACCCCGACUUCGGAAGGGGUGUAUUUAUUAGAUAAAAAACCAAUGCUCUUCGGGGCUCCUUGGUGAUUCAUGAUAACUUAACGAAUCGCAUGGCCUUGUGCCGGCGAUGGUUCAUUCAAAUUUCUGCCCUAUCAACUUUCGAUGGUAGGAUAGUGGCCUACCAUGGUUUCAACGGGUAACGGGGAAA